UACGUAGGGCGCAAGCGUUAUCCGGAAUUAUUGGGCGUAAAGAGCUCGUAGGCGGUUUGUCGCGUCUGCCGUGAAAGUCCGGGGCUCAACCCCGAACUUGCAGUGGGUACGGGCAGACUAGAGUGUGGUAGGGGAGACUGGAAUUCCUGGUGUAGCGGUGAAAUGCGCAGAUAUCAGGAGGAGCACCGAUGGCGAAGGCAGGUCUCUGGGCCACUACUGACGCUGAGAAGCGAAAGCAUGGGGAGCGAACAGG
rnacentral:rRNA from 1 species